AACGAACGCUGGCGGCAUGCCUAACACAUGCAAGUCGAACGAGACCUUCGGGUCUAGUCGCGCACGGGUGCGUAACGCGUGGGAACCUGCCCUUAGGUUUGGAAUAACUCCCCGAAAGGGGUGCUAAUACCGGAUAAUGUCUUCUGCCCAAAGAUUUAUCGCCUUUGGUUGGGCCCGCGUUGGAUUAGCUUGUUGGUAGGGUAAAAGCCUACCAAGGCGAAGAUUCAUAGCUGGUCUGAGAGGAUGAUCAGCCACACUGAGAGUGGGACACGGCCGGGACUCUUACGGGAGGGAGAAGUGGGGAAUGUUGAACAAUGGGCGAAAGACUGAUGCAGCAAUGACGGGUGAGUGAUGAAGGCAUGAGGGAUGUAAAGCUCUUUUAACCGGGAUGGUAAUGACGGUACCGAAAGAAUAAGCCACGGCUAACUACGUG
rnacentral:rRNA from 1 species